CCUCUAAGGCUUGCAAAGGUGAGGUUUGGUACUCGGCAAACUUGCUGUAUAUAUAGAACUCGUGUCAACCAUAAAACCUCGUCCUAACCACCUGAAACUGUCAGUAGAUCCACACGAUUGAUAACACAUUACACGACAAGUUUUCCUUUACAAGAUCACCAUCGUUUCAAGGAGUUUGCAAAUGGCCGUCCCAUACAUAUUUGUAAAAUUUCUACUAGAGACUUGACGACGCGUCUCAAUUCAGCUCAAGUCUCGAGAAUGAACGCUAAGUAUACUUAAGAUUACUGUAAUAAAUGCUUGAAGCUUUUUAAAAUGACGUGAAAACAGCCAAGUUCAGGAGGAACGAUGUGGUAUUCGCUAGCUGACUUUAUGUAACACAUCUUACG